rnacentral:rRNA from 1 species
GGUAACGGGGAAUUAGGGUUCGAUUCCGGAGAGGGAGCCUGAGAAACGGCUACCACAUCUAAGGAAGGCAGCAGGCGCGCAAAUUACCCAAUGAAAACAGUUUCGAGGUAGUGACGAGAAAUAACAAUACAGGGCAUCUAUUGUUCUGUAAUUGGAAUGAUGGGAAUGUAAAACCCUUCCAGAGUAACAAUUGGAGGGCAAGUCUGGUGCCAGCAGCCGCGGUAAUUCCAGCUCCAAUAGUGUAUAUUAGAGUUGUUGCAGUUAAAAAGCUCGUAGUUGGAUUUCUGUCGUGGUCAUCCGGUGCUGCCCGUAUGGGUGUGCACCUGGUAUGCCUGCGGCUUUCUUUCGGUAGCCUUCCGCGCUUAAUUGCGUGUGUGGGUACUCCGAAACUUUUACUUUGAGAAAAAUAGAGUGUUUCAAGCAGGCUUGUCGCCCUGAAUACUUCAGCAUGGAAUAAUAAGAUAGGACCUUGGUUCUAUUUUGUUGGUUUCUAGGACCAAGGUAAUGAUUAAUAGGGACAGUUGGGGGCAUUCGUAUUUAACUGUCAGAGGUGAAAUUCUUAGAUUUGUUAAAGACGAACUACUGCGAAAGCAUUUGCCAAGGAUGUUUUCAUUAAUCAAGAACGACAGUAGGGGGUUUGAAGACGAUUAGAUACCGUCGUAAUCUCUACCAUAAACUAUGCCGACUAGAGAUAGGGAAAUGCCUACCUUGGCUUCUCCUGCACCUCAUG